AUAUUUUUGUUUGAAUAACUUCUUUUGUUUGAUGUUUGAACUGAAUUGAUUGUAAUAUAGUGUGAUGAUUGUUAAUUAGAAAUAGAAAAUUUAUAAACUCUAAUUUGUUAAAAUGUUAUGUUCUUGAAGGUUGGAGCUCGAAGAACAUAAGGUUUGCGUCGUCACAAGUUAAAUUGAAAAUCUUAUGAUCAGUUAGAAGUUGAUACUUAAAAGGUUGGAGCUCGAAGAACAUAAGGUUUGCUUCGGCACAAGUUAAGUUGAAAAACUUAUGAUCAGUUACAAGCUUAUACUUGAAAGGUUGGAAAUCGAAGAACAUAAGGUUUGCGUCGGCACAAGUUAAGUUG